rnacentral:misc_RNA from 1 species
UCCGGUUUGUCACCGGCAGUCACCUUAGAGUGCCCAACUGAAUGCUGGCAACUAAGAUCAAGGGUUGCGCUCGUUGCGGGACUUAACCCAACAUCUCACGACACGAGCUGACGACAACCAUGCACCACCUGUCACUCUGUCCCCGAAGGGAAUGCUCUAUCUCUAGAGGUGUCAGAGGAUGUCAAGACCUGGUAAGGUUCUUCGCGUUGCUUCGAAUUAAACCACAUGCUCCACCGCUUGUGCGGGCCCCCGUCAAUUCUUUUGAGUUUCAGCCUUGCGGCCGUACUCCCCAGGCGGAGUGCUUAAUGUGUUGACGUCGGCACAGCAGGGGUCGAUACCCGCUACACCAAGCACUCAUCGUUUACGGCGUGGACUAC